UACGAAGGGGGCUAGCGUUGUUCGGAAUUACUGGGCGUAAAGCGCGUGUAGGCGGGGCUUUAAGUCAGGGGUGAAAUGCCAGGGCCCAACCUUGGAACUGCCUUUGAUACUGGAGACCUUGAGUCCGGGAGAGGUGAGUGGAAUUGCGAGUGUAGAGGUGAAAUUCGUAGAUAUUCGCAAGAACACCAGUGGCGAAGGCGGCUCACUGGCCCGGAACUGACGCUGAGACGCGAAAGCGUGGGGAGCAAACAGG
rnacentral:rRNA from 1 species